GACGAACGCUGGCGGCGUGCUUAACACAUGCAAGUCNAACGUGAUUUUUAUGGAAAGCCCUUCGGGGACGGAAGUAAAGUGAAAGUGGCGAACGGGUGAGUAACACGUGAGCAACCUACCUUACACAGGGGGAUAGCCGUUGGAAACGGCGAUUAAUACCGCAUGAGACCACAAAGCCACAUGGCUUAGGGGUAAAAGAUUUAUCGGUGUAAGAUGGGCUCGCGUCUGAUUAGCUAGUUGGAAGGGUAAAGGCCUACCAAGGCGACGAUCAGUAGCCGGUCUGAGAGGAUGAACGGCCACAUUGGAACUGAGACACGGUCCAAACUCCUACGGGAGGCAGCAGUGGGGAAUAUUGCGCAAUGGGGGGAACCCUGAUGCAGCGACGCCGCGUGAGCGAAGAAGGUUUUCGAAUCGUAAAGCUCUGUCCUAUGAGAAGAUAAUGACGGUAUCAUAGGAGGAAGCCCCGGCUAAAUACGUGCCAGCAGCCGCGGUAAUACGUAUGGGGCGAGCGUUGUCCGGAAUUAUUGGGCGUAAAGGGUACGUAGGCGGCCUUUUAAGUCAGGUGUGAAAGCGUGAGGCUUAACCUCAUUAAGCACUUGAAACUGGAAGGCUUGAGUGAAGGAGAGGAAAGUGGAAUUCCUAGUGUAGCGGUGAAAUGCGUAGAUAUUAGGAGGAAUACCGGUGGCGAAGGCGACUUUCUGGACUUUUACUGACGCUCAGGUACGAAAGCGUGGGGAGCAAACAGG
rnacentral:rRNA from 1 species